UACGUAGGGGGCUAGCGUUGUCCGGAAUUAUUGGGCGUAAAGAGCUCGUAGGCGGCUUGUCACGUCGGGUGUGAAAGACCGGGGCUUAACCCCGGUUCUGCAUUCGAUACGGGCUGGCUAGAGUGUGGUAGGGGAGAUCGGAAUUCCUGGUGUAGCGGUGAAAUUCGUAGAUAUUCGGAAGAACACCAGUGGCGAAGGCGGCUCACUGGACCGUUGUUGACGCUGAGGUGCGAAAGCGUGGGGAGCAAACAGG
rnacentral:rRNA from 1 species